rnacentral:rRNA from 1 species
UCAAGUAAUUAAGUGCAUGUGGUGGAUGCCUUGGCAGUCAGAGGCGAUGAAAGACGUGAUAGCCUGCGAAAAGCUCCGGGGAGGCGGCAAAUAUCCUUUGAUCCGGAGAUGUCUGAAUGGGGGAACCCACCUACUUUAAGGUAGGUAUUGCAACAUGAAUACAUAGUGUUGCAAGGCGAACGAGGGGAAGUGAAACAUCUCAGUACCCUUAGGAAAAGAAAUCAAUUGAGAUUCCCUCAGUAGCGGCGAGCGAACGGGGAUCAGCCCAUUAAGUUAUGUGUGUUUUAGUGGAACGCUCUGGGAAGUGCGAACGUAGAGGGUGAUAUUCCCGUACACGAAAGGGCACACAUAAUGAUGACGAGUAGGGCGAGGCACGUGAAACCUUGUCUGAAUAUGGGGGGACCAUCCUCCAAGGCUAAAUACUCCUGACUGACCGAUAGUGAACCAGUACCGUGAGGGAAAGGCGAAAAGAACCCCUGUGAGGGGAGUGAAAUAGAUCCUGAAACCGCAUGCAUACAAGCAGUGGGAGCACCUUCGUGGUGUGACUGCGUACCUUUUGUAUAAUGGGUCAGCGACUUAUAUUCAGUAGCGAGGUUAACCGUAUAGGGGAGCCGUAGAGAAAUCGAGUCUUAAUAGGGCGUUUAGUUGCUGGGUAUAGACCCGAAACCAGGCGAUCUAUCCAUGAGCAGGUUGAAGGUUGGGUAACACUAACUGGAGGACCGAACCCACUGUCGUUGAAAAGCCAGGGGAUGACUUGUGGAUAGGGGUGAAAGGCUAAUCAAGCCUGGUGAUAGCUGGUUCUCCCCGAAAGCUAUUUAGGUAGCGCCUCGGACGAAUACCAUAGGGGGUAGAGCACUGUUUCGGCUAGGGGGUCAUCCCGACUUACCAAACCGAUGCAAACUCCGAAUACCUAUGAGUACUAUCCGGGAGACAGACUGCGGGUGCUAACGUCCGUAGUCAAGAGGAAAACAAUCCAGACCGCCAGCUAAGGCCCCAAAAUCAUAGUUAAGUGGGAAACGAUGUGGGAAGGCAUAGACAGCUAGGAGGUUGGCUUAGAAGCAGCCACCCUUUAAAGAAAGCGUAAUAGCUCACUAGUCGAGUCGGCCUGCGCGGAAGAUGUAACGGGGCUAAAACUAUGUGCCGAAGCUGCGGAUGUAUACUUUGUAUACGUGGUAGGGGAGCGUUCUGUAAGCCGAUGAAGGUGUGUUGAGAAGCAUGCUGGAGGUAUCAGAAGUGCGAAUGCUGACGUGAGUAACGACAAAACGGGUGAAAAACCCGUUCGCCGAAAGACCAAGGGUUCCAGUCCAACGUUAAUCGGGGCUGGGUGAGUCGACCCCUAAGGCGAGGCCGAAAGGCGUAGUCGAUGGGAAAAUGGUUAAUAUUCCAUUACUUCUGUGUAAUGCGAUGAGAGGACGGAGAAGGCUAAAUCAGCCUGGCGUUGGUUGUCCAGGUGAAAGGAUGUAGGCAUGUAUCUUAGGCAAAUCCGGGGUACUCUAUGCUGAGAUCUGAUAGCAAGCUGUACUUGUACAGCGAAGUGGUUGAUGCCAUGCUUCCAGGAAAAGUCUCUAAGCUUCAGUUACACAGGAAUCGUACCCGAAACCGACACAGGUGGUCAGGUCGAGUAGACCAAGGCGCUUGAGAGAACUCUGCUGAAGGAACUAGGCAAAAUGGUACCGUAACUUCGGGAGAAGGUACGCUGUUGUUGGUGAUGGAACUCGCUUCCUGAGCUGACGACAGCCGCAGAAACCAGGCCGCUGCAACUGUUUAUUAAAAACAUAGCACUCUGCAAACACGAAAGUGGACGUAUAGGGUGUGAUGCCUGCCCGGUGCUGGAAGGUUAAUUGAUGGGGUUAGCGUAAGCGAAGCUCUUGAUCGAAGCCCCAGUAAACGGCGGCCGUAACUAUAACGGUCCUAAGGUAGCGAAAUUCCUUGUCGGGUAAGUUCCGACCUGCACGAAUGGCAUAAUGAUGGCGGCGCUGUCUCCAGCAGAGGCUCAGUGAAAUCGAAAUCGCUGUGAAGAUGCAGUGUACCCGCGGCUAGACGGAAAGACCCCGUGAACCUUUACUGCAGCUUGACACUGAACUUUGACCUUACUUGUGUAGGAUAGGUGGGAGGCUUUGAAGCUGGAACGCUAGUUCCAGUGGAGCCGUCCUUGAAAUACCACCCUGGUAAUGUUGAGGUUCUAACUCUGUCCCGUGAUCCGGGACGAGGACCGUGUCUGGUGGGUAGUUUGACUGGGGCGGUCUCCUCCUAAAGAGUAACGGAGGAGUACGAAGGUGCGCUCAGCGUGGUCGGAAAUCACGCGUAGAGUAUAAAGGCAAAAGCGCGCUUAACUGCGAGACCCACAAGUCGAGCAGGUACGAAAGUAGGUCUUAGUGAUCCGGUGGUUCUGUAUGGAAGGGCCAUCGCUCAACGGAUAAAAGGUACUCUGGGGAUAACAGGCUGAUACCGCCCAAGAGUUCAUAUCGACGGCGGUGUUUGGCACCUCGAUGUCGGCUCAUCUCAUCCUGGGGCUGAAGCAGGUCCCAAGGGUAUGGCUGUUCGCCAUUUAAAGAGGUACGCGAGCUGGGUUUAGAACGUCGUGAGACAGUUCGGUCCCUAUCUACCGUGGGCGCUGGAAAUUUGAGAGGAUCUGCUCCUAGUACGAGAGGACCAGAGUGGACGAACCUCUGGUGUACCGGUUGUGACGCCAGUCGCAUCGCCGGGUAGCUAUGUUCGGAAGGGAUAACCGCUGAAAGCAUCUAAGCGGGAAGCCUACCUCAAGAUAAGAUUUCCCUAGGACUUUAUGUCCUCUAAAGAGCCGUUCGAGACUAGGACGUUGAUAGGUUGGAUGUGGAAGCAUAGUGAUAUGUGAAGCUGACCAAUACUAAUUGCAAUUGAGGCUUGACUAU